AUCCUUUUGUGCCCCGUAAGCAUAACUGGGUUUCCAUACUGCUGUGUGAGAUAUGCCUACUUCAAAUCUUGUUGCGCCAUUGGCUCAUUAUCCAUCUGACA